UUGGAUUAUCUGUUUUUUUAACAGAGGAGAAAACUCGAGGGAGCUCCAGCCUGAGAAAUCCCAGCGAGUUCUGGGGAUUAACACGUGGCCUUCCAGGCGGGGAUGUUGGAGGCAAAAUCCUUGGGAAAUGCCAGAGCUCUGCUAACAGCUUUCUGGGUUGACUGUGGAAGUUCCAUCGCUCCUGCUGGUGCCGUUCCCAAAGUCCUGCCCGUGCUUCCCCAUUUGUUGCCUGCAAUUAGCUGUGAGGAGAUAAGACAGGUGUCACUAACGUUCAGACAGAGGAGAAGGAAGCAGCAAUUUGCAUAAAUUAAUUAAGAAACUGACCUCGUUCCCCAGCACUCCUCGGAGACGAAGCCAAACCCCCCAGUUUAUCAAACCAACACCAGAUUUGACACCUGAAUUGAGCUCUCCCCAAACCACACAACAAAAUUAAUCCCCAGCAGAAGCCACCACAAUCCCCUCCCUUCAGUCAUUUAUUUUUUCAGCCGUCCCAGCGAUUUAUUUUUAAACAUAUCAGGACGUUAUGUUCCGUGACAUUUCCCAUCCACACAACACCAUAUGUAUUGGCAAGUGAUUCCUCC
rnacentral:lncRNA from 1 species